rnacentral:tRNA from 1 species
UCCUUGGUAGUCUAGUGGUUAAGACUUCAUCUUGCAGUAUAAGGGGUGCAGGUUCGAUCCCUGGUCAGGGAA